rnacentral:rRNA from 1 species
AGUGAACGCUGGCGGUAGGCCUAACACAUGCAAGUCGAACGGCAGCACAGUAAGAGCUUGCUCUUACGGGUGGCGAGUGGCGGACGGGUGAGGAAUACAUCGGCAUCUACUUUUUCGUGGGGGAUAACGUAGGGAAACUUACGCUAAUACCGCAUACUACCUACGGGUGAAAGCAGGGGAUCUUCGGACCUUGCGCGAUUGAAUGAGCCGAUGUCGGAUUAGCUAGUUGGCGGGGUAAAGGCCCACCAAGGCGACGAUCCGUAGCUGGUCUGAGAGGAUGAUCAGCCACACUGGAACUGAGACACGGUCCAGACUCCUACGGGAGGCAGCAGUGGGGAAUAUUGGACAAUGGGCGCAAGCCUGAUCCAGCCAUACCGCGUGGGUGAAGAAGGCCUUCGGGUUGUAAAGCCCUUUUGUUGGGAAAGAAAAGCAGCAGGUUAAUACCCCGCUGUUCUGACGGUACCCAAAGAAUAAGCACCGGCUAACUUCGUG